GAGUUUGAUCCUGGCUCAGGACGAACGCUGGCGGCGUGCUUAACACAUGCAAGUCGAACGAGAAUCUACUGAAAGAGUUUUCGGACAAUGGAUGUAGAGGAAAGUGGCGGACGGGUGAGUAACGCGUGAGGAACCUGCCUUGAAGAGGGGGACAACAGUUGGAAACGACUGCUAAUACCGCAUGACGCAUAGAGGUCGCAUGAUCUAUAUGCCAAAGAUUUAUCGCUUCAAGAUGGCCUCGCGUCUGAUUAGCUGGUUGGCGGGGUAAUGGCCCACCAAGGCGACGAUCAGUAGCCGGACUGAGAGGUUGAACGGCCACAUUGGGACUGAGAUACGGCCCAGACUCCUACGGGAGGCAGCAGUGGGGAAUAUUGGGCAAUGGGCGCAAGCCUGACCCAGCAACGCCGCGUGAAGGAAGAAGGCUUUCGGGUUGUAAACUUCUUUUAAGAGGGAAGAGCAGAAGACGGUACCUCUAGAAUAAGCCACGGCUAACUACGUGCCAGCAGCCGCGGUAAUACGUAGGUGGCAAGCGUUGUCCGGAUUUACUGGGUGUAAAGGGCGUGCAGCCGGGUCUGCAAGUCAGAUGUGAAAUCCAUGGGCUCAACCCAUGAACUGCAUUUGAAACUGUGGAUCUUGAGUGUCGGAGGGGCAAUCGGAAUUCCUAGUGUAGCGGUGAAAUGCGUAGA
rnacentral:rRNA from 1 species